AGGGAAGGUGCCAUAAGUUAACUUCUUUGGCCAGCACUCCAGACUGAGCAUCGAGCCUCCUUUAUUCCCACCUUCUCUUCCAGACGCACGCCGACACUGGGCAGAAGGGAAGAAACCAGUGGGGAUACUGUUGUUUUGCGGGGGCAGCAUGAGCAGACCCAGGAAGAAAAUGCUGGCCUUGAGAUAGAUAGCUCUUCAGAGGAUCCAGAUUAAACUAAGUUCAGUGUUACCUAAAUUUACAUGAAGACCCAGAGGCCCAUGCUCCUUCAUUUUGGGCUCCACCGACCUCCAAGGUUUCAGGGCCCUCUGCCCCGCCUUCUGCACCCACAGGGGAAGAGAGUGGAGGAUGCACACGCCCAGGCCUGGAAGCGACGCAUGUGGCUUCCCCGUCCACAGACUUCACCCACAGUCCAUUGGCCUUCUUAAGUCAUGGACUCCUGCUGAGCUGCCAGGGUGCGUGGGAAAUCCAUGUGACUGUGUGCCCUGGAGGAAGGGGAGCGUUUCGGUGAGCACACAGGAGUCUUUGCCACUAGACGCUGAUGAGGAUUCCCCACAGGCGAUGAAGCAUGGAGACUCAUCUUGUAACAAACAGAUGAGUUGUUGACAUCUCUUAAGUUUAUUUUGUGUGCAGUUUUUAUUCAGAUAGGAAAGGCUGUUAAAAUCUUAACACCUAACUGGAAGAAGGGUUUUAGAGAAGGGUGGUUUUCAGUAAGCCAGUUCUUUCCACAAUCCAAGAAACGAAAUAAAUUUCCAGCGUGGAGCAGUUUGCAGGUAAGGUUUUUGUUGUGGUCUCGCCCAGGCUUGAGUGUAACCGGUGUGGUCAUAGCUCACUACAUUCUCAAACUCCUGGCCUUAAGUCAUCCUCCUGCCUCAGCCUCCCAAAGGCAAGUAAGGUUAAGAAUAGGGGAAAGGUGAAGUUUCACAGCUUUUCUAGAAUUCUUUUUGUUCAAGGGACUCUCAGAUCAUCAAACCCACCCAGAAUCUGCUCAAUUUUCAAGAUUUGCUUAUAAAUAUUUAUAAUAUAAACACUCAAUUGCUAUCUGUUUUUUAGGUUCUCCUCUCUCUCCCAGAACAGUGGUAACAGGAACUCUUGGGGGCUUCUCCCUGUUCUUGCAGAUGUGGCAGGAUGUGUUUCUGGGGGGCUCCCAUGCCAGUCCACACCCUCUGUGGUGUAAGCAGGGAUUGGUAAUUAAUGAGAUGCUAAACCCUCCAGAAGUGAGCGCUCAUGUCCCAGAAACACAUCUUCCACCUCAGCAGCCAGUGGGAAAACUAGACUUUGUGUCUGCAUAUUUGUUCUUAAACACACUCUUCUGCAGUCUAACUCUGCUGACCACUUUCCAGUUUGCUCAUAUCAGAAUUUCUUUGGUUCUAAGAUGCAUAUUUUCUUUUUGUAUUCUGACUUGUUAGAAAUUAGAAUAUGUCUUGCAGCCAAUAAAAUCUAUGACAACAUUUUUUUUUUCUUAAUGGUUCCUAAAACUGUAGUUGAUGGUGUCUUGCUUAGGUUUAACGAAAGAU
rnacentral:lncRNA from 1 species